rnacentral:rRNA from 1 species
ACGAACGCUGGCGGCAUGCCUAACACAUGCCAGUCGAACGAGACCUUCGGGCCUAGUGGCGCACGGGUGCGUAACGCGUGGGAACCUGCCCUUAGGUUCGGAAUAACUCCCCGAAAGGGGUGCUAAUACCGGAUAAUGUCUUCGGACCAAAGAUUUAUCGCCUUUGGAUGGGCCCGCGUUGGAUUAGCUAGUUGGUAGGGUAAAAGCCUACCAAGGCGACGAUCCAUAGCUGGUCUGAGAGGAUGAUGAGCCACACUGGGACUGAGACACGGCCCAGACUCCUACGGGAGGCAGCAGUGGGGAAUAUUGGACAAUGGGCGAAAGCCUGAUCCAGCAAUGCCGCGUGAGUGAUGAAGGCCUUAGGGUUGUAAAGCUCUUUUACCCGGGAUGAUAAUGACAGUACCGGGAGAAUAAGCUCCGGCUAACUCCGUG